rnacentral:lncRNA from 10 species
ACCCGGCCGCUGCUGCGGUCCGGACGGCAGUUGGUCCAGUAGUUUCGGAUGCCCGGGCUAGGCUCGGCGGAGAGCGAGUCGGCGUGAAUGAGAGCAAACCAACAGGGCUGUGCGUGGCGCGUAAAGAAGUGUUGAAGAAGAGAGAGACAGAAGAAAAUCACCAUAAAAAGUCAGACACGAGAGCUUAGAAGUCAAUUAAGACAGGGCUUGGAAGGGGCAUUAGGUUUUUGGGGAACCGGUGUUACAUGAAAAAAAAAAACACCUCUGUUUGCAUCUGUAGACAAAGAUCUGUUCAGAAUGGUUGGCUUUGUGAGGUAAGUUUAUGAAGAACUUUCACUUACUAUUUUAGUCAU